UAGAGGUUCUAUUUCAAUUUUGCUAGAUUGCCACUGCAUAUUGCUAGAUAUCACUGAUAGAUUGUGAGAGCUCAAUAAGAUUGUUUUGGAUCAAUGAUCCUUAUCGAAUUAGAGUGGAACUGUUCCAACCUACUGAAAAGAGUUUCAGUGAUAUCUAUGAUAGAGAUCAUAGUAUAUCUUACUAUCAGAUAGAAUUGAAUCUAUGGGAUCACACAUAAAGGGAGA
rnacentral:lncRNA from 1 species